UGUGGCCCGACCCCAAAGGUCCUCCCAACCACCGACCGCCGCUCUCCUCUGCCCCGACCCGGACCCCGACCACGCCGGCCUCCUCUCCUCUCCUCUCCCUCCGGCGCCCCCUCACCUUCUCUCUCCCUCUCCUUCUUCUUCUUCUUCUUCUUCUUCUUCUUCUUCUGGAUUUCUUCAUCUGACCCUCCCCUGCGGUUGGCUUCUGCAGGCCAUCACAAAUUCGCCAUGGCACCCAGCCCCAGAUCUGACAGACAAGGGUCUAGGUGCGGCCGGAUCCAAGACCAAGCACCCCUGCGGUUGAUUUCGAUCUGCUCUGCAGGCCAUCACAAUGGAAGGAGGAGCACCAUGGCGGGCGUGCAGGCCAUCGCCUAGGCGGGACCCACGGCCAGAUGCAGGGCGGCUCCAAACCAUAACUCCCUCUUCUUUGAUGGUCGAGGAGGACGACGGGGAGGGGGGUCAGGAGGAGCCAGCGCCAUAAUGGAGGGCCCUCUUCUUUGAUGGGCAUUCCGUUCCAGCUCCAAUCCCAGCAGGUAGCGCUUCUGCAGUUUUUCUCAAGAUUACUAGUGCAACACUCGCCAUCUCUGAAUUCAUCAUGCCCCAUAUGUGCAGAGCCGAUCUGUCUUUUCUCUUGGUAGAAUUUCACGAUUAUUCAUCCAUCUCUGCUUAUGUCAGUUCCUGGUACAAGAAAUUCAUUCUUUUUGCACAAUGUUACCGGUAGGUUGUGUUUCUGAUAAACGGGAUAAAUCAUGAUGUUGCCCUGGAUUGACAGUUUUCCUAACUUCAGAGCAUGGAAUGUCCAGUCUGAAUUGUCGAGUCGCAAUUCAAAAUCAAAAUAUACUUAGAAUUGUGUUUACGGAUGUACGUAUAUCUUUGGAAUUUGCGCGGCUCUUUGCUCCAAAAAGUGCAUGGUCGACCUCUGGUUCAGGCGCCAAGUCAGUCAGCAUCAAAGUCCUGCAUUUUUAUGGUGUGUCACACAUACACACCUACAGGCCGUGAGAGCCUGGUGUGGCACCGGCGCGUUCUUCGAGCACCGGAAUGUGCGCGCCCAUAACCGCAGCACCAAGGGGCAGCAGCAGCUUCAGGGCAGGUCAAAGUGCAAGGUUGCCGUGCUUGUGGUCUGCUCACCUUCACUUCAGCCGCAGCAUCCGCUUCCCCAGUUGCUCCUCUUCCGCGCCGCUCCAUGUGUUUAUCCUGCCAAGGAGCGCGGACGGACGCGCGCUCGGGGUGGCUGCUGUUGCGCCCAGCAGCAGAGGACGCUAGCUAGUCUCCGUGCGCCGGCAACGGCAAGGACUUCUUGCACGUAAGGAAAUUCUUUUUAUUGGCUCUGUAGGGAUGGGUCCAUAUCCCAUCAACAAAGGAUAGCACUAUACUAGUCGCCGUCGCCGCUGCCUGCCAGUCCGAUUUGAGUCGUCUCCGGAGCUCUGCUGGGUUCCUCAUUUGAACAAGGGUCUCUUUCGAUGCUUAUUCUUUUCCAGCCAAUUCUUUUCAACAAGGGUCUCUUUCGAUGUGAUCUCCCUGCUGGAUGUUUGGCUGUGUCUCCUUGAGAAACUUGGUUAUGCAACAAUUUGGCUGCAAGUUAAUUGUAAUAUAUGCUGUUUUGUUUUCCAAUCUUGCAUCAAGUUGUUAUUUUGGGUCAUAUGGAUGUUGAACAGCUCGAAUCCUGCAACUGUUGUGUACUUGGUUUCAAAUUGUAGGUUCUGUGAGCAAAAUAGAAUCUAGUGGAAUAUUGAAUAUAUCUGCAAAAUGAAGGCUCUUUUUUA